rnacentral:rRNA from 1 species
GAUGAACGCUGGCGGCGUGCCUAACACAUGCAAGUCGAACGAGAAGUUAACCUCUGAUUCCUUCGGGAUGAGGAGGUUAGCAGAAAGUGGCGAACGGGUGAGUAACGCGUGGGUAAUCUACCCUGUAAGUGGGGGAUAACCCUCCGAAAGGAGGGCUAAUACCGCAUAAUAUCUUCACUUCUAAAAGAAGAGAAGAUUAAAGAUGGCCUCUGUCUUAAGCUAUCACUUCAGGAUGAGCCUGCGUCCUAUUAGUUAGUUGGUGGGGUAAUGGCCUACCAAGACCACAAUGGGUAGCCGGUCUGAGAGGAUGUACGGCCACACUGGGACUGAGAUACGGCCCAGACUCCUACGGGAGGCAGCAGUGGGGAAUAUUGCGCAAUGGGGGAAACCCUGACGCAGCGACGCCGCGUGGAUGAUGAAGGCCUUUGGGUUGUAAAAUCCUGUUUUGGGGGAAGAAACCUUAAGGGUCCAAUAAACCCUUGAAUUGACGGUACCCC